AUCGCUUCUCGGCCUUUUGGCUAAGAUCAAGUGUAGUAUCUGUUCUUAUCAGUUUAAUAUCUGAUACGUUCUCUAUCCGAGAACAACAUAUUAAAGGGGUUUUUGGAGCCAGGAGUUGGAGUGGGAGCUUGCUCCGUCCACUCCACGCAUCGACCUGGUAUUGCAGUGUUUCCAGGAGUGGUGCACCCCUC
ensembl:snRNA U2 U2 spliceosomal RNA